AUUGAACGCUAGCGGGAUGCCUUACACAUGCAAGUCGAACGAGUGGCGGACGGGUGAGUAAUAUAUCGGAACGUGCCCAGUAGCGGGGGAUAUCUUCUCGAAAGAGUGGCUUAUACCGCAUACUAUUAUAGCGGCCGAUAUGGGAUUAGCUAGUUGGUGGGGUAAAGGCUCACCAAGGCCACGAUCCGUAGCUGGUCUGAGAGGACGACCAGCCACACUGGGACUGAGACACGGCCCAGACUCCUACGGGAGGCAGCAGUGGGGAAUUUUGGACAAUGGGGGAAAGCCUGAUGCAGCCAUCCCGCGUGUAUGAGAAGGCCUUAGGGUUGUAAAGUACUUUUGGCAGAGAAGCGGUAUCGGCAGAAUAAGCACCGGCUAACUACGUGCCAGCAGCCGCGGUAAUUC
rnacentral:rRNA from 1 species